GGCUCUGUGGCGCAACGGAGAGCGCGUUGGACUUCUAGCAGCAGCGGGCGGCAUUCAAAGGUUGUGGGUUCGAGUCCCACCAGAGUCG
rfam:Tinamus guttatus contig47670, whole genome shotgun sequence.